AGGAAAGUGCAUCAGAUUUCUCAUCAUGUUCUGGGCUUCUUUCCUUUUCUCGUUGCUGGUGAACUCCUCAGGGUCCUCUGCCCAGUAUGUCCUGACCCAGCCAUUAUCCGUGUCUGUCCCGCUGGAACAGAAUGAAAGGAUCACUUGUUCAGCAAACAACAUUGAAGGAAAGAAUGUUCACUGGUACCAGCAGAAGCCUGGAGAUCCUCCUGUUCUGAUUAUGUAUAAUGAUAAAUGGAGGCCCACAGGGAUCUCAGACCGAUUUUCCGGCACCAACUCUGGUAACACAGCCGCCCUAAGCAUCUCCAGAGCCCAAGCACAGGAUGAGGCAGUAUAUUACUGCCAGGUGUUUGACAAUAAUCAGUGCACCGUGAUACAAAUUAAGGAGGAAGUAUAG